rnacentral:ncRNA from 1 species
AUCGUUCAAGGGCAACCCUUCCGAAAGGAAGGUUCGCAAAGCUUCGGGUCUAAGGUUUUUCAGCUAUGACUGCCGGGCUGCCGAA